AUCCAGCUGACGAGUCCCAAAGAAGACGAGACUGUCGUUCUGGAU
rnacentral:hammerhead_ribozyme from 1 species